rnacentral:rRNA from 1 species
GCUGUCGAGCGAAUGGAUUAAGAACUUGCUCUUAUGGAGUUCGCGGCGGACGGGUGAGUAACACGUGGGUAACCUGCCCAUAAGACUGGGAUAACUCCGGGAAACCGGGGCUAAUACCGGAUAACAUUUUGAACCGCAUGGUUCGAAAUUGAAAGGCGGCUUCGGCUGUCACUUAUGGAUGGACCCGCGUCGCAUUAGCUAGUUGGUGAGGUAACGGCUCACCAAGGCAACGAUGCGUAGCCAACCUGAGAGGGUGAUCGGCCACACUGGGACUGAGACACGGCCCAGACUCCUACGGGAGGCAGCAUUAGGGAAUCUUCCGCAAUGGACGAAAGUCUGACGGAGCAACGCCGCGUGAGUGAUGAAGGCUUUCGGGUCGUAAAACUCUGUUGUUAGGGAAGAACAAGUGCUAGUUGAAUAAGCUGGCACCUUGACGGUACCUAACCAGAAAGCCACGGCUAACUACGUGCCAGCAGCCGCGGUAAUACGUAGGUGGCAAGCGUUAUCCGGAAUUAUUGGGCGUAAAGCGCGCGCAGGUGGUUUCUUAAGUCUGAUGUGAAAGCCCACGGCUCAACCGUGGAGGGUCAUUGGAAACUGGGAGACUUGAGUGCAGAAGAGGAAAGUGGAAUUCCAUGUGUAGCGGUGAAAUGCGUAGAGAUAUGGAGGAACACCAGUGGCGAACGCGACUUUCUGGUCUGUAACUGACACUGAGGCGCGAAAGCGUGGGGAGCAAACAGAUUAGAUACCCUGGUAGUCCACGCCGUAAACGAUGAGUGCUAAGUGUUAGAGGGUUUCCGCCCUUUACUGCUGAAGUUAACGCAUUAAGCACUCCGCCUGGGGAGUACGCCGCAAGCUGAAACUCAACGGAUUUGACGGGGGCCCGCACAGCGGUGAUCAUGUGUUUAAUU